rnacentral:lncRNA from 1 species
CAAGAGCAGUUAUCUACGAGCGGCGCCCCUUCAAGUGACAGCUUAAGCAAGUCAAACAUCUCUUUAGUCCAUCAAAGGAAAAAACCAGAUUGUGUACCUAAAAGACAGAAAAUUCCUUUGAUUGAUGAAAGGAAGAGAACCAAAUUUAGCCUCCUUGCAAAGUCUAUGGGUAUGGAAGAGCUUGCAUUUAGCAAAUGGUUACUAUCUGCAACUCCAGUAGAGAGAGAAAAAGUGCUUAUAAACUACAACAAGAAAAAGAAAAAGCUUAAAUCCUUGCAAAGUCUAUGGGUAUGGAAGAGCUUGCAUUUAGCAAAUGGUUACUAUCUGCAACUCCAGUAGAGAGAGAAAAAGUGCUUAUAAACUACAACAAGAAAAAGAAAAAGCUUAAAGGUUGAGUAAUGGUUCUCAUGGAUGAUAAAACAAACGCAGGCCUUUCAUACCAAAACAGGAGAAAAAUGUGCAAAUGUGGAAAUGCAUAGAUAGUCAAUUUUUCCUUUUACAGAUUGAAUUUUUAGAUGUAGUUUGUCCUCCAAACAUUGUAACUUCUAUUUUUCUGGUGUAAAUAUUAGCAUAUUUUUUAAUUAAUGGUUCUGAUUAUGUUGCAAUUUUAAUUAGUUCACGAUUAUUAGUCAUUCAUGUGAAUAUUAUGAUUACAUUCAUGAUUCAUCAGUGUUAAGAAUAUAUCUAAGAGAAACCAUGUUUAAGUAAAUAGGAAUAUUCAGUUUUGUAUGUAGAUUGUCCAUACAUGCAGCAUACUAUUCUCAUAAAUACAAUUUUUAUUGAUUUACUUUUUUGAGUGUAUAAAAAAGAAUAUAUAUUUUUUUUAGAGAAAAUGGAUGAUGCACUGACAUGUAAAUUUAUUUUACACUAUCAACCAAUAACGACCAUGCAUCCCGUCAAGUCAGACUAAAAAUUUUAAAAUACUGAUAUGACAUGAUGAAAUGAUACAUUCUUAUUGGAUGAUACGAUCAGUGCAUCACCAUUAAAUCCUAUUUUUUAUAAAGGAUAAUUAUUUCAAUUUUUAAUAUAUUGAGUACACAUUUUUGUAAAUAAAUUAUUUCCUAAACCCUCUGAAAGUGCCCCUAAAAUAUACUCGGGGACCACUUGCAAACAUUGUAAACUCUAUGAUUUGUUAUGUCUUUUACAGCUGUAUAUACUGGUGGAAUAGGCUAAUACUAGUAUUUUGAUUUUCAAAUUAAAAAAUUUAGAUUUUAACAUCAAAGUUCAAUUAAUCUUUAAGUAUUUUAUAAUUAAUUAUAUGUUACAGUUUCAAUCAAAUUUCAUUGAUUAUUAUUAGCCACUUUUGUGAAUAUUAUAAUAACAUUCAUAUACAUCAAGGAAAUGAAUUCUCUAUAUUAAAACCUUCAUACUAGGUCUGCUCUUUUUUAUAUAUAAUUUUCUCUCUUUUUCUCUCAUGAUCGUUGUGAUUGAGAUGCUGCAAUUAAGAAAAAUUGAAAGAAUAUAUUGUCCUAUGCAAGUCCAUACAUGCAGAAGACUCUUAGUAACUACAUUUCUCAACAAAACAAAAAAACUAAAUCCACUUCAUUUUCAUUCCAAUUCAAUCCCCUACAAAAACUUGAAAACUUGUAAAAUUUGUUUAAUGGGCGCUACAAAUUAUGCCUUCUUUUCUUUGGAUUCUUCAUCAUACAAGGAGAGCACAAGAACUUAAACUAUUCAUAACGGCUUAUCCCACCUUCACUUUGUCUGCUUUUGAUUCUAAUAACAAGCACAUCCUAGAACUCCAAAAAAUCUACUCAUAUCAUUGUAUCUAUUUCCUCUGCAUUUUGAAUCUGGAGACUGGUUUUAAAGGUUGAGAACCGGAAACCUGUUAAAAUAUCAAAACCAUAAUCAUCAUAGAUUUAAGUCAGUGAUGAAAAUGCAAAGGUUAUGAAAAUCAUGAUGAUUACAAGCCAAUAUUCUUUUAUUCAUGAACAGACCCCUUACAUAACUCAAUUAAUUUACCUGUGAAGUUGAACUUUGUUCUCUUGAAGCUUUUUCUAAAUUCUCGCCAUGCUCUAUGAUGGAGCCUGUAAAAGCCUGCAGAAAAUAUUAAUUCAAAAAAAUAAAUCAUCGACUGCUAUAUGUUUUGGCUGCAGGGUACUAUUGCGACUUGAGAGGGAAAAGAUUAUAAAGAUUAAACAAACCUUGAGACUAUCAAAUGAUGGCUGUGAAGUUUGAUGUUGAACCUGUAAAGGAAAUAAUUGUACAUGUCAAGCAUCAACUCUCAUGAAAUAGUUGUACAUUUCAACAAGUAUAUACCACAUUACCUACGGGCAAGAAAUUGUGAUGGAAGUUUCAUCAAAAUAUUUGCAUACCUCAAUUUUCGAUGCCAAAGUUGCUUGAGAUAUCUUCUCUUUAGGAACUAUGGGCGGCUUCGCACUAGGAUCAAUGGAUUUCACAUUUUGUGCUAAAGUUUUCCCUUCUGAUAGAUCAGGCAAAACAGAAAUUCAACUCUAAAGUGGUUGUAAACGGCACAGGCAGCCAUUUAUAGUUACACGGAACCGUGAAAAUGCAAAUACAGAGAAAAUGAGAGUGCAAAGAACUUAAGGAAUACCAACCUUUUACCUGAGGUUGAACAGCCAGGUUCGCAAACUGCGUUUUCAAAAUUAAAAUGCAAAAACAUAUACUUUCAGCCGAGUAUAACAUACUAAAUAACUUAAAAGAAGAAAAAAACAAUAGAAAGAAAUUUUCUUACAUUCAACUGAUCAGCUAUAUAUUCUUGAUGAUUAUGCUUUUUUGGAAACUCACUUGUUACAUUUCUAUUGCUUCUCUGGUCCAGUGGUAUGGCUUGAUUACUACCCUACUUCAUAGAAAAUUAAAUCCUAAGUUAUCACAGUUCAUUGUGCUCAUAGUCUAUAAACAAUGUUUUGAAAUUAGAAACAACAAAUUGAUCAAGAAUAUUACUUCUAUAUUUUGGGGAUUGUUAUCGACAGGUCUCUGAUAUGGACUAUCAUCAAAACCAUCAGUAGUUUUCUCACUUUGAUCACUGUCAUCGCCAUUUUUUUCAGCAAGCGCUUCUUUUUUCUCAAGUUCAUCCAUUAAAGCCAAAAAUGAAGCAUAGUCCACUUCUUUGGAUGUAUCAUUCCCAACACUAGGAACAUCUUCAAUAGCUGAAUCUGAAAAGAAAGCAAAACAAUAUUGACAUUGCAUCCAAUCAUAAUUUCAAUAUUUCGAACAAAUUAGAAAUAUGAUCAUUGGUAAAAAGGUGUAAUGAUCAAAAAUAUAUGCUCGCCAACUUCAAGCAUGGAGUAACAAAGUUGAGAAAUAUAUAAAAGACAAAAACAAGAAACUUAAAAGUGAGCAGAUGAAUAGAACCUGCUCAAGGGAAGAACAAUGUGUUAAUCCACUUAGAAAUAAACUCAGAAUAAGCAGAAACUGCUGUACAAAGUACAUGUAAGCUGCCCAAGGACAACAAGUAACAUGUAUAUGUUGAAGUUGUAAAUUUUUAGAUUAAAAAAAUUAAAAUAGAAAUAAUAAAGACUUCAAAAUAUAAUUAUGAUUGACAAUUUGAAGAUACCAAAAGAAUUAGCACUAUCCUUUAUUUAUAGGGAAUUAAGGAUACAAGACUCGUAAUCCUAAUUUAAUAACAAAGUGAACUACUCCUAUGAGAUAAGAUACAUAACUAAUACAUUGAGGCAAUUCAAGAUAAGAUAAAUAUUUAAUACAUUGAAAUAAUUCAAGACAAUAUCAAGAUAUUUUUUCAUACAUACACUCCUUCUCAAACUAAAGCUUAGGCUUGUUACAAAUAAAUCCUUUGAAACAAUACGGGGACAAUGCUUACAACAGUUGUAGCCCUAACUAGAAAGUCUUGCAACUUUGAAUGAAGCAGAAAUGACAAAGUAGCAGCUGAAGCCUAAAUAUCAGCCACGAAGAAACCAAAUAGUACCAAAGAAACAACAGAAAGCACCACAACAGGUGGGCCUAAAACCAGAAAAAACAAACCAUAACUACUAUUAGGGAGUCAAGAACAAAACCAACGGCGAAACAAAAUUUUAUGAGACUCGUGCUGACGACUUAGUCUUGACAGUGGCUAGACCCACCUAUUUGAGCACAAUGUGUGUGAUGAACACAACGUGCACACAAGAGCAUAUUAAGGUGACAGAUUUACAGCUAUGAUGUUACGAAGGAUCCAUAUUUGUGUGGUUAAUUUUAAGAAUAGAGUUCCAAGUUUUUGUAAGAUUUACUACUUUGGGGAAGCUCACGGAAAAUGGUGCGGCUCUAAUACCAUGUUGAAGUUGAGUUUUUUAGAGAAAAGAAAAAAUAGAAAGAAUAAAAUCUUACAAAUAUGAUUAUUAUUGAUGAAUUAAAAAUGGCAAAGAUUAAGUAAGCACUAAACCCCUAUUUAUAUGUCAAAUUACUAAUCAUAAUAGAAUAGAGAAAGCUGUUAUGAUUAUAAUAACAUUUAAGUCAUAAAAGGAAACUAAUUUUAACUUAAGAGAUAAAAUGAGAAACUUAUUGAUCCUAUGAGAUGAUUCAAGAUAACAUCAAGAUAUUAUAAGAUAUGUUUCUUAUAGUCUAAGGUAUCUAGAUAUCAUAAGAUAUGUUUCUUAUAUUCUAAGGUAUACAUACACCCACUCACUCAAACAGUUAUAAAUGGAAAUCUGUCUAUGUGUAUUUUGAUUUAUGUAUCCACUUCCACUACUGAGCAUGAGCAUGAGGAUGAGCAUUCAUUUGGGUUCGUAUUGCACUGUAAAAAUGAUUUGAACGAUAAAAAAUUGCAUGAACCAACAUUGCUUUGGCCUAUAUGUGGAAUUAUAAAGCUUAGAACUAGUAGAAAAAUGGAAGAAAAGAGAUGGGGAAAAUGUUUGUACGUAGUGCAAACUGAAAGUUGAAUAUAAAAAACUGUAAAAUGAAUAUUUGGUGUUUAAAUAAGAGACUAGAAAAUUCCAUACCCUCCUUGCAAAUCCAAAUUAAACAUCUCCAUACACAUUAAAAUAAAUAAUUAUGUAUGCCAAUGAUACCAGCAUAAUGGUAUGCUACAAUAAGACUUGAACUUGCCAGAUGUUGAUAAUUAGUAAUUACAGCUAUUUGAAUAACCAAUAUAGAAAGUGCUUGAAUUUUAUUUAAACUUUCCAACCCACCAUACCACUACGAUCUUCUGUUUAUAGUUAUAAAUGAACAUAGACCGUCAUUUUACAUAAUUAUAAAACUAUGGAAAGCGAGAAAGAGAGAACAUGCCUGAUUCAGAUUCCUCUUCUUCAGAGUCGCCCUCAACAUAUUCUUCUCUUAUUUCAACAAGACCCUCCUGCACCAAGUAAAAACAACUGCAAUUGAUAAUUGAUGCCAACUUCAAAUAUAUUUUCACCAAUUGCUAACAAAUGUUUUCCACCAAAAGAAAUGCUAACAAAUGUAUAAACGUGAGAAGAAAAUGUAGCACAAAAAACUAAAAUUAGUCCCCCAGACAAUGUGAAAAGAAUAAAAUACACAACACAUUGAAGUAUAAUACUACCAGGUUCAGCCACAGAUUUAACCAGUUAGAAUACCAUACUACAUGUGUGAAUUGUCAAAACUGCCUCAAUACAAAUCAAAUUGAAAAUUACUCCAAACUAAUGAGAGAAGUGAUGAAACAAACCGCUACUUCAGAAUCUGUGACAUUGAUAAAGGAGGAAAGGUUGUUGAUCGUGGCCUGAAGUGAAUCAACCUGUGAAUUCAAGGAUUCCCCUCUUCGUUGCAAAAUAUCAACAGUUUGUUUGGAAGUUCUGUCUGCAUAAUACCCUUCUCCCAAAAGAACCUAAUAACCAAAAAACAUUCACCACUGAGAAAAAAAUUGAAAAAACAUGCAUAUUCAAUUCAACCAAAGGGGGAAAAAGCGCACCAUGAACUCGUUGGUAUGAAUCAAACGACCAGGGAAGAACGCUGCUUUCCCAAGCGGAACCUGAGAACCCAAUUUCAAAUUUCUAAACUUUUUUACAAAGGGUAAUCAAAACAGAAGAAAAAUCAUUGAAAAAACAAGGAUUGACUUGCCAUGACAUCAUGAGAGAGUUGUUCGGGGAGUUUCUGGACGAGGUUGACAAGGUUGUUGUUGUCGGCGAUAAAACGUUGUAGGACGUGAAGCUCGUUGUUCUUUUCGGCAAUGGCAUCUUGGAAUUGCUUAGUGGCCUUGUGCACCUCCUCAGGGGGGAACUGUGACUCAAGUGGUGUCACUGUCCCUUUCCUCCCCAAACCUCCCAUCUUCCUACUUUCCUUCGUUUUGCUUUGAUCCCUUAAUCACUCUUUUUAGAUUGCUAUACCUUCUGGGCCGAGAGGAAUGGCCCAGCCUCUUCGGCUUUAGGGGCAAAUUGAAAUCAAUGGGCCCCUUAGUUAUUAGUUCAUAAAACUGAUUAGAUAACAUGUCAAAAUCGAAGUACCAUAAAGAGUAAAAUAAAUGCAUUUACAAUCCAAAAGUAUCUCAAGUUACAAGUUUAUUCUAUCAAAGAAGUAUCUCAAGUUACAAGUUUAUUCUAUCAAAGGGACUCGAUCUUAAAUCUCUAAUUGCACCUAAUGUCAAUUGCAUAGACUCGCUGAUGUAGUUUAUUGAAUGUCCAAUUCAAUUUCCAUUAUAUAUAUUGUUUACCAAGUUCUUUAAAAUGUCACUCAUACUUCUUUUAGAAUUCUCUCUCUAACUUGUGAACUUAAACAAGUCGGAAAUAAUAAAGAUCCUCAUUGGAUAACUAGGUCUAUAAUUUCCACAUAAAUUCAAGUUAUCAUUAAACUAAUAUUACCUAUUUUAAGCUUAUUCAUAUCUACCUAUAAAAUACCAAUCGAACAAGUCCAAAAAUUUUCACUUAAAUUUUCUAAGGUUUUUCUAUAAAAAAAAUUGUCAAGUUUCCUCCGUUUUUACGAUGUUUCCAAAAUUUCCCCGCUUAAAUUACACAUCCAUAACAGUGCAAACAAACAGAAAUCCCCCCACCUCUAAAAGGUGUUGAAAGGUUUGAUUCUUUUUCAAACCUCAAAGAGUCUAACUUUUUUCUCAAUAAACUUAUUCACAUUCUAAAAAUAAUUUAAAUUAAACUACACUAAAGGUAUACAACUCAUCAAUUAAUUCUUCAAGCUAACACAAGCUGAGAUCUUAAAUUAUAACUUGACGAUUCUAAUAAACACCAAGUGACUUGGACUAUUUAAGUCAAAGCUCAAGUCAAUUUAAUCGUGACAUUUCUUUCAUUACUCAACUAUUAGAAAUUUACAACUAACUCUAAAACUGAGUAGAAAAUUUACACCCAAUAACAACAAUAUAUAAUGUUUUAAGGGACAAUAAUACACCAAGUGUACAAUUCAGUCUCCAAACUUGCCGCACGAACAAGAUAUGGUGUUAGUGAAAUCUGACGAGCGAAUAAGUCCCACUGAGUAUCUACUCAAGAGCACGGCAGCUAGUUUAGACUACCAUUUGGGAUCUUCUCCAUAUAAUUAUCUAACUCAAGUCAAUUAGUUAGAGUUAGUCAAUGCCAGCUACUUAUGUAAGGAAUGAGCUUCACUAUAAUGGUUAAGAGACGUUCAUUUUAUUCUACAAUACAAUGCAAAGAUUCAGAUUUUGUUAACUCAAAUAUCUUUCUUCUGUUCCUAUGAUUUCAUAUAUCUAAUACCUCAUUUCAACACCACAUUGAUAACAACAACAAUAACCAAAGCUUAUCCCACUAAGUGGUGUCGGUUACAUGGAUCAAUUUCUGCCUCAAAUAUACAGGUCUUCUUUCUACAUAACCAAACCACCUAAGUCUAUUUUUCACCAUCUUACAUAAAAAAUACAUGACAAUUACAAUAUUGUAAGGCCUUUAAUAAAAAGAGAUCAAAGAGGACAAAAACUAAAAUAGAAAAGGUUAGUGACCAAUACGAUAGCUCAAGCAUAUUUCUCGACAAAAAUAAAAGUUCUCCAUAAACAAAGGGAGUUGUUACUAACAUACCAGAACAACUUUUUUCCUAGAAAACUUCAAUUAUAUUAACUCUUAAAUUUAAUCCAGCUUUGCAACUAUGUGAGUUUCUUUCUGAAUGACCAAGCAUGUGAUGUGAAAGACAAUAAAGAUGCUAAAGAUAAUUAUAAUGAUACACGAAUAUAAGCACAACAGAUUUUACAGAACAUGAAGCCUUUACUAGAGGUUCAUACAUUACUAUUCUUUGUCAGUAUGAAGAAAUUCUUCUAGUCCUUGAUUCUAAAAAAAAUGUGUCAACUUUCAAGCCAAACCGGUGAAUGAUUGCCAAAUCAACAAAGUGUGUCUUAGUUACUUUCGUUGCUAAAAAGUAUCAUGUGAAGUUCAAAAUUCCAAAUUCCAUGAAUAAAGGUAUCAAAAAGUAGGGGUACUUGAUGAUGCUUCUAAUAUGGUUUCCUUGAAACUGUUUUCAAGAGCCCUUUUGAUUUGAACUUUCAAUAAAAUUUCUAGACAUACUUCCAAACAGAUUACUUCUAAAUAGGAUUUCUAAACCAAAUGCAGGCAGGGAAUGUAACACUUCAACACAUAUUUGUUUCAUAAGUUUCAACCUAAAAUCAACUUAAGACUUCAAUCCAACAAUCAACUUGCACACUUAACGAUUAAAUGCAUUAUCAAAUAGUGAUUCCAAAACUAUAGAACUAGAGGAAAAAACAAUUUCUCAAAACCAAAAUCCCAAAUGUAUAGUUGGAAAACUGAGAUUUAAUCAAAAGUCUCAUCUACCAUAUGAAGAGGUUAAGAUGACCAGAUUUCGAUGAGGGAGAUAGAGAAAUCUUAAUACAGAUAAGAAGAAUAAAUGAAAUGAGAGAUAAACAAGGUGGCCGGAAUGAUUUACCACGUUGGAGUUGAUGUUAAGGGAAGCUUGAAAUCAGUCCUAUCUUUCCGUUUACAAUUGCGGUGGCCGGAGGUUGAGGUGGAGGAAGUCCGGUGGCUAGGGUUUUAAUGAGGGAGGAGGAAGCUUUGAUUCGCACUGAAGGGAGAGGGGAGAGAAUUUAUUCUGGCACCCUUAAGCAUUACCUUGCACCCCCAAAUUUUUGUAAUCCUACAAAUAUUUCCUCUCAUUUUUUUUAUUAAAAACUUGUUAGAAAAUUUUCUCACACGUGAAAAAUCUAAUAGACCUAUUUAAAAAGUUUGAUAAGCAUUUCUAAAAAAUCGGGUGCAUGAAAAUUUUUGUUGUAUUUCUUAAAAAAUUUGGAAUAUCAUAUUCUUUCUAACCCCUUGAAAAUAUGGUAGUGUUAGUUUUUAUCAGGUGAAAUUUUGUCGACACUUUUGUAGGAUAGUGAUUGCACCGACAUUUUUGUGUGAUCCAUAAUGAUUUAAAACUUGUAUAAAUAUGCAUCAUAUGUUGUUAACAAAAACAUCUCCCAAUGUCUCAAUUUUGGCAUCUCGAAUUUGUUUACUUCAAUGGCGUGAAACAUCCUGUUAGGCUCACAAGACACCCAUUCUUGCUAUUCUGAAAUCCAAACUAGAUAAUCUCUUGCACCACAUCGACAACAGAAUGGUAGUUAAGAUCGAGUAUUGUUCACCACCGAUUGAUACUUAUGACAAAGAGUAAUCUCGCUUAUGUGUCAUAACUUUUAAGUGUGUUCUCUUUUCUUUCUUUUGUUUUAUAUCAAUUCUUGCAAAUUACCCGCUUUCCAUAAUUUUAAAUUUCAAUGAAAUUUGAAUCAUGAAGUGUGUUGUUUUUCCCUUUUAAAUGAUUACAUGACUAUGUAUGCAUAUUUAUAUUUCUACAAUAUAUUUUUACCAUCUUUUUUACUAUGACAAAGGGGGAGAAGUAUACUCUCCCUGAGAGAGUAGAGUAUACUAAUUACUUAAUAAAGUGGACGUUUAACCCCCUCCAAGUUAGAAGAAUGUGGAACCAUGUUUUUCAAACAAUUUAAGAAAUGACCAAAGUUAAAGGUGACAAUCAUGGUUUGCUUUUAAGCAAAUGAUAAUGUAGGCACAACACUGAUACUGUGGAUGUUUGGGAAAGUAGAAUAAUUGAAUGUAACUACUUUUGUGGAUGUAGUACCGCAGACACGACACCUAUAUGUAUGAGACACCAACCUGUGUCAAUUGUAAAGUGCCAGUGCUACAUAGAUAGAUUCAUAGUAGUGAGUAGAUUUCCCAAUGGUGGGUUCAAUUGGGAAUGGUACAUCGCAUAUGUGUUUCUUUAUUUCUCUUUGAUAUUUUGUUGUUAAGUGUUUACUUUAUUUUGUAUAUGAAUUAGUUUAUUGCAGUAAUUUUUAUAUACAUGAUGUGAGUAGUACUUUGUAGCAUCGGCAUUCAGCAGAUCAGAUAUUUAUAGUUUGUAUUGUGAAUCAUUUAAAGUUUUUUUAAGUGCUGAAAUUUGAAAUUAAAUUAAAAAUUCUGAGAAUUGUUUCAGGUUCCUGUAUCUAGAAACUGUAGACUGCUUGAGCAUCAGAGAGUGGGAGUGAAGUCUUUUGUCACUUUCGCUCCUCUUCUAUUUUUCCUUUUUUAUCAACCCCUCCAGUUAUUUCUGCGCUAUAAUAUGAACAUGGUAUAUACAGAUAUAUUGAUGUAGGUGUGUUAAGAGUCCCACACUGGACAAUAUAUGGCCUGAACCUGUGUUUAUAAAUGGGGACAGUCCUCACUCUACCAACCGGUUUUGUAGGGUUGAGUUAGGCCAAACCACACAUUAUUAAUAUGGUAUCAGAGCCUCGUUUAAGAUCCGGUGGACCACCCACCAUUUAUUUCCACGCUCCAGAUGUCCAGUCUUGGGCGUGAGGGGGUGUGUUAAGAGUCCCACAUUGGACAAUAUAUGGCCUGAACCUAUGUUUAUAAAUGGGGGCAAUCCUCACUCUACCAACCGGUUUAAACCGGUUUUGUAGGGUUGAGUUAGGCCAAACCACACAUUCUUAAUAAGAUGUAUGAAAAAUUAACGAUAUUGUGUUACUCUCAAUCUCAAGCACAAUGUUUUAUUAGUCUAAUUAUAUGUUGUUAAUCUCGGAAAGCGGCGCGGUCAACCCCAAACAAAAUAUAGGAACAGAACAAAAGAAGUAAGAACAGAGAGAAGGAAGAACAAACCUGAAUGGAUGAAGAUGAAGCAAUGGAGGAAGACGAUGAACAGUGUCCGGACAAGGAAGAGAAGAUGAUCGUUUGUUUGCUUGCGGCUGUGCGAAGACUACCGUUACGUUACCCAAGCGCGAAACACUGAAGAAGAAUUGGAAACAAAAUUAGGGUAUUUUUUUGUUUUUAAAGUAAUGGGUAAAACCCUCUGACCCGACUCGGUUUUAAAACCCGGCCGCUUCUGAACCGCGCCCGCAUCGCUCCACCCGCUUUCCACUAUCGCGCCGGACCGGUUUCAUACUGAAGCGGCGUUGCCAUUUUUGUUGCGGUGUGCCGUGAUCGCGGCCGCACCGGCCGCUUUUUGCAACAUAGGUCAAACAUCUCUUUAGUCCAUCAAAGGAAAAAACCAUAUUGUGUACCUAAAAGACAGAAAAUUCCUUUGAUUGAUGAAAGGAAGAGAGCCGAAUUUAGCCUCCUUGCAAAGUCUAUGGGUAUGGAAGAGCUUGCAUUUAGCAAAUGGUUACUAUCUGCAACUCCAGUAGAGAGAGAAAAAGUGCUUAUAAACUACAACAAGAAAAAGAAAAAGCUUAAAUCCUUGCAAAGUCUAUGGGUAUGGAAGAGCUUGCAUUUAGCAAAUGGUUACUAUCUGCAACUCCAGUAGAGAGAGAAAAAGUGCUUAUAAACUACAACAAGAAAAAGAAAAAGCUUAAAGGUUGAGUUAUGUGCCUUAAGAGUUAGGUUGUUAAAUUCCCUGUAGGUUUGAUUUUUUAUAAUACAAUUGUCACUGAUACACACCACAAUCUAAUCCAACACAAUCAAAACAGCACACGACUUUUUACUAACUCACCAAAAUAUAUACAAGGUCAUUCUAAUUUAAUUUGUCUGUCAUCUAAAGCAUCUUCAUGUUGUCUGUAGUUCUAUAUGAGCAUGCUAUAAUUCAUAUCAACACAACAACAAUAAAAUAGGUAGAAAAUAGUACAUAUUCAUAUUCAUUUAACUACAAUAACUCAUCUUGUUGCCAAGAAACGAAUUAAAAAUUAAGAAUGCAAAUGAAAAUUAUUGUCCCUCAUCUGAUUUACCCAUAAGCUUAGAAGCGCCUCUAAGCAAAACAAUCAAAACCCAAUCAAGUAGAAUAUCAGUAAGAAUAUCAAACAAAUUGAUGGAUCAAAGCAUUUAAGCACAGGAAAAAGGUAACGGAACUUAUUUUUCUUCCGCAUAAAUUAAAUAAGAAAUUCAAAAUGAAAAAUAAGGAGUUUUUUUAACUACUUCGACACUUGCGAAUGAGAUAAAAGAAAACCCAUAUUCUCUGGUUCUUCAAAGGCAUCCAGAUCAUUUUGAUCUAAGACACACGCCUUACUGUGCUUGGACGCCACUCAAUUUAAUUCCAUAAAUGUCCAAUCCCACAAAUUUUGCAUCACUUCAUCUAAAAUCAAAGACGAAUGUUCAAUUUUUGGUGCCUAGACACCAAGUACUAAUAACAUGGAAAUGAAAAACGUAGUUAAACAUUCUCAUACACUUGUUGUCACUCACACAUGCAUAAGAUCAUAAUUGUAUGGAAGAAAGAGGCUAUCAGCUUGAGAACUCUAGUUGCCUUCAUGAAUUAGGGCAUGUUUAAUUGCAGUUUUUGAAAACAAUUUUCUAUUUCUGAAAAGUUGUUUGAUUAGCUUGUUUUGAAAAUUUGUUUCCUAUUUUAUUUUAUUUUUUAAAUCUAAACAAAAAAAACAUAUCAUACUCGUAAAAAAACGUUUUUCAAAAUUGAUUAGUAGUAUUUUGGAGAAAGUACUUCAGUAUACAGAUUUACUUCAUUUCCUUCGUCAACACAAAUAUUGUCCUUAACUCAGCACACAUGCUAGUGCAACACAAGUAAUCACAUGCUAGUGCUUUCACUCCUAUGAGCAAUAAGUGCUUGAAAAAUCUUAAGAAAUGUUCUUCUGCAUGUACAUUUCUAACAAACACAACCCAACAAUAAAACUUUAUAACUUAGAGUGACAAAACAGGAAUCAAUUACCAUCCAAUACUUAAAUUUCAGCUUAUUCCACAACCUCAAAGUAUUUUCAACAUAAUCAAAGCAAAAAUAAUAAGCACUUAAUACACUAAAACUAAUACACUAUAGAAAUUAUUUUCUUCGGAAUCAAACAAGAACAUGAGAAGUAUGAACCAAUUUAUUCCAGGAAAUCCAAUUUAUAAAUUAGGGUUUAAAAGGGUAAAAAUAUUAAAACCUGACAAGGAGCAGGGAUUUCACAGUGUUAAUCUAGAAUGUAAACUUGUUUUCCCUUACUCGUGUCCACAUUGACAACUCAGAACAUCAAGAGUUUCUUGAAUCAGCCUCGGAUGUAGAACCGCCGGCGAUAAGUUUAAUGAGAGGAGGCACAACUUCGUAUGUGGAAGGAAUAGCAAGAGAGAGGUGUAAGGGUUCACAUGAGAGAGGGAUAAGAAGAAGAAGAAGAAUUGUUUCGUGUUUGAGGGAGGAGGAGGAGGAGGAAUGAAUCAAGCCUCGGCAGGGCCGUCUUUGAGGGCGUAUAAGACGGAAUAUCGCACAGGGCCUUAAAUUUGUCACAGUUAACUCCUCUAUACUCAUUAAAUAUAACAGAACUGUGAAGGCUUUGUUACAAAUAAUCACUUAACUCCUCUACUCGUUAAAUAUAACAAAACUUUCAUAGAUAAUAACAUCUCGACUCAUUACAAAGCAUGAAAAAAAAACUCAAAUUUGAGUCAUUAAAGAGCUUAAAAAAAAGCUCAACAUCUAUCACCCACUAUGUUGAAUUCUAAGCCUAACUAACCGCAUUAUUAAUAGGGAUCACAACAAUGACAAAAGUUGCAAAAAUGAAAACAAGGACCACAAGUUGCAAUAUUAUAUUCAGAAAACAAAACUAGAAAUCAUUGUUUCUAAUAAGAUUAAUAACAUCGUACCUCGUAACGUACUAAGAAUUAUACAAGAUGCAGAACAGGGAUUCGAGAACAAUCGAAGACGAUGAACAAGCGGGUUUCAAGCACAAUAAUAAAUUAUGGAGAAGAAGCUGUUGUUGAGCAAACACGAUUGAGAACAAGGCAAUUUCGGUUUGAUUUUAGUUGCAUGUGUUGGGACGAUUUAGGUUUACGGUUUGAGGAAAAUGAAGUGCUGGGUUCAUUGUUUGAUUAUGAUUUAUUCAAU